UUGGAUAUAUAUAUAUAUAUAUAUAUAUUCCAAUGACUCCGGAACCGAUUCCAAUGACCCGGAACUUGGAUUAAGGCCAUCCAAAUGCUGGAGCCAAGGUUGCCGAGUGAAUUUUGGGGGCGAUGCCCUUAUAGCUUUGCUCAUCUAGGAGGUUCAAAAGUCUGCUUUGUUCUUUCCAAUCCCAUCAAGCACCCAAAAAAAAAAAGGUCUUUGGAAGAUGCGUCUUCUUGUUCAAACUUUAGAGUUUUCCUUCUCCAAACCAAGUACCACCCUCACCAGUGCUACUGAUGAUGAUUAUAAUUAUAAUGAUGGUGGCUGCGAUUCAAAAAGAUCAUUCGAUUUCUCCUCCUUCAAGGCCGACACCUUCUCCACUCACAUCUUUGAAUACGAUUGGUGCGGGAAUCUUUUGGGACUGCUCACGCAGCCGUGCUUGGUUGCUUUGCCCUGUAAGUUUUGUCGGUAAGGUGAGGCUCUCAGGGGGAGCAUCAUUCUCGAUCAAGCACGUUGAAAAUAUGGUGUGCAGCAGCAUUGUGAAGUGACCCUUUGAUUUGUAUAUGCAACAUUGUUUGGAAAUCGGAAAUUGGAGACCUGCCAAGCUAGCUACUGUUGUUUCCAGUACAUUCAAACAUUUAUGUGUCUGGUUCCUUGUGUAGUUUUCUAAAUUCAAUCCGAGAUUUGGAAGUAAUCGUCACCUUAAUUGUCUCUUUCUGUU